UACGAAGGGGGCUAGCGUUGCUCGGAAUCACUGGGCGUAAAGGGUGCGUAGGCGGGUCUUUUAAGUCAGGGGUGAAAUCCUGGAGCUCAACUCCAGAACUGCCCUUGAUACUGAGGAUCUUGAGUUCGGGAGAGGUGAGUGGAACUGCGAGUGUAGAGGUGAAAUUCGUAGAUAUUCGCGAAGAACACCAGUGGCGAAGGCGGCUCACUGGCCCGAUACUGACGCUGAGGCACGAAAGCGUGGGGAGCAAACAGG
rnacentral:rRNA from 1 species